rnacentral:rRNA from 1 species
UACGUAGGGCGCAAGCGUUAUCCGGAAUUAUUGGGCGUAAAGAGCUCGUAGGCGGUUUGUCGCGUCUGCCGUGAAAGUCCGGGGCUCAACUCCGGAUCUGCGGUGGGUACGGGCAGACUAGAGUGAUGUAGGGGAGACUGGAAUUCCUGGUGUAGCGGUGAAAUGCGCAGAUAUCAGGAGGAACACCCGUAGCGAAGGCGGCACUCUGGGCCGAUACUGACACUGAGGAGCGAAAGCGUGGGGAGCGAACAGG